CUUCCAGGCUCUGCCUCCAAGGAGUAAAGUGCCAGCUCCCUGCCUGGCAUCUGGACUGGUCUGCAACCUGGCCACACUCUGCCCAGAACUGCAGUUGCUGAUCCACACGGGGGUGCAUACUAUCCUCUGGGCUCUGUGCCAAGGGCUCCACAUGAACUCAAGUCCCUGGGGAUGAGGAAACCCUCCUCUGAGGCCGAUGGAGGAGGGUCGGAGGUGCUGAGCAACUGACCAAGGCCACGAUUCGCCCAGGUUUCCUGCAGACACAGCCACGCUGUCCCCACAGGGCUCCUGGGUAUUUUAGGACUGCUGGGUCCUGAAGAUGGAGGGUGCUCCCCAAAAUGUGUCCCUCUUGAAGAGGCCUGGAGGCAAACCUUCCCUCCCAGGGGACUGGGAGCUCUGCGGGCACACCUCACCCAUGGUCCCUUCUGGACUGGGAGCUUUGCUGUCCCCUGCGGAGAAAGAGCCUUAGAACCCUGCGUGCUGCCCUCCUGGCUCUGAGGGGAGCAAACAAAAACAUUCCAGCUGUGUCACAUGUUUGUCAUCUUGAAGGUUGAGUAUCCUGGAGGGGCACAGUCAGAGGUUCUUCUAAAGUGGCACUCAGAUAUCUGCUGGCACUGCCACCUUCUAAUAGCACAGCCGGCGGGGCUCAGCCUGACAGCCAAAGUGGCCUGGCUGGACCGAUCAGGAGCUGGGCUGGUUGCACGGUAAACGGCUUCUCCCAGAGCCUUAUCCCCCGGACACCAGAGAGAAACUCCUCCCUCCCAGACCCCGGAAGAGCAUGCCACUAGGCCCAGCCCAAUGCACAGGGAAGGACCACAGGCACCACCUCACAACAGAAGAAGUAUAGAAAAACUGAGGACAUUUUAAAAACUUCCACCAUAUAUGUGUAGAAUAGAUAAACCGGCACAGGGCCCAGAGCCAGCUCUUGGCCUGUGUUUGCUCUUGCAGUGUGGCCACAAGGAACAAAAACAGUCUGAGAAUGAAAAAUAUUUCACUGAACCAUCAAAACAUCAAAAAAAAUUCUGUAAUUCAGAAUAUACUCGGCCGCAAUCAGUGAUCGUGAAAAAGGACUGUGGUGUGCCUCUGGGAUGCACUGGUUCAGAAAUGUCAGAUUUUGCACAAGCAAAGUAGAAACCCUCAAGUAGAAGUCAGAACCUGAACCCCCAAAGGGAGACGCAGUCAGACCUGAGACUACUGCGGGCGCUUGUGGCCGGCGUCCGGGAGGCCGGGCGCCUCUGAAAUGUUCACAUUUUGUCUCCCACGAAACCGUGAAUGCACCGCUCUGGGAAACCACUGGAGUCUUUCGAGAACAAGCACAAAAUAAAGCUUUCCAGCACAUAAUCAAUGAUCUCCAUCAUGAAAGGCAGAAGAGAGACCAAAAGCCCAGAGGUGUCACUCCAAGUCGCUCAGUGGAAAAGCCAGACAUGAGCUAUUCUAUCGCCAGGACACUUACAAAGCCAGCCACAUCGUGAGUGAAGAGUCGGGGUGAACAAAUUAAGUUAUUUGUAAAAUUACUUUAUCUUAUACCAGAUAACACUCACCGAGGAGGGGACCGUGUAAUGUAUGGCCAACAACCAGGGAGAUUGAUAGUUCUCACACCUGCUCCCUAGCAGAUAUUUUACCCAUAGACACAAAACUGAUGGCAGGAAAGGCACAGCAGAUUCCUGCACACGGGGAGGAUGGUGUGGCAGGCACACCCCCUUUGUCUCUUAGUUGAACCCUGAAUGCACUGGGGAAGGCAGUGUUCCCUGCUCUAGGCCCAUCCUGAGAAUCCAGUUCCUGAUUUCCCAGCCUCCCUUGCAGCUAGGGUAGCCAUGUGACGCAGUCUGACCAAUGAGAUCUAAGUGGAAGGUGGCAGGUGGAUUCCCAAGGAAGUUUUUUCUUUUAUAAGAAGUCAGACAUCGCACAAGGAUGGGGCCUGGUUAGUUAGGAUUCUCUAGAGGAACAGAACCAACAGAAAGCAUAUGUAUAAUCAGGCAAAGGAAUCUAUUAGGUAGUUUGCAGGAUCAAAGGCAGGAGUCCAUCAUGGCCUCCCAUAGGCUGCAGUCUCCUGUCUCUCUCUGCUUGUUCCCUCUCAGGUUGGCAGCGUCCUGGGUUCCUGUUUCACCAGGGGAGCAGAAGCCAUCAGAAGAGGCUCCUCCGAGGCCCGCAUUCCUCCUCCUGAGGCUGCUCUGGGGCCGUGACCCUCACUGGGCCCUGUCCCCCCCUCUUCCUCGGGGUGUCCUCUGCUCCCCCUCGUUCUCCUCCAGGCCUGUUUCUCCCCUGCAGCGUCACACCCAGUGCCACACACCAAACGCUGCUGCCUGUCACCUUAGCAGAGCAUGUCUGGAUGGUGCACCCCAGUCUCUCCUUAAUCAGAAGGAAGUGAACCCCAAAGCUCUUUUUUCACCCUGAUUUCCAUCCAGCCGGUCUCUGUAGUCCGCAUGGGCCUCUGUGCUACUGAGAGGGACCUUGUCAAGGUCCCAGACAUGCACCCCACCCCUGACUGCACGGUCAGUGAUGUGUCCCACUGCCGACCCUCCCCCUCCUCCCGUCCUCUCCUCCCAAACGGGAGCUCGGUGAGAAGCAGCACCCUUGUCCUCCUGUCACUGCAUAGACCCAGAACAGCACCCAGCCACAGUGUGGGCUCAGCAUAGUCACUGCAGCAGUGAAGAGACAGCCAGCUGCCUCUCCAACAUCUUAGGUAACAACCACCUUCCUAGCUUGUUAGUCAGAUGGGUGUGGCCUCAGGACUGGUGACUGUUCAUGCUUCCAAAAGGAAAGGUGCAUGACUCUCAUUGUUUUCCCAAUAUUUCUCAUGGCUGAAACACAGAUGCAAUGGCAGGAGCUGGAGCAGCCAUCCUAAGCCAGGCAGUGGAACCACCCGCAGUUGCAGAAGGCAAGAAAUUCAAUAAAAGCAGCACCUUAUCUGCUCUGGUCACACAAGAUGCUUACCAGGCAGGGAGGUAGACGCCCACCUUAUGUAAAUCAGUCGCUUGGGCCCUGGUGACAGCAAGCAGACCUGUACUCAGGAAAGCAGUAGAGCGGUUUUAGUUGGGUUUUCCACCCCUUGCAACAGAUCCCUGAAUGCGUGAGGGGAACAAGCUGCAGGGUUUCUCUGGGUCCUGUUUGUCACGCAGCCCCGAUGCCACACAGGAGGACGCCUUCAGGAUGACGUGAUGGUGACUCUGAGCCACGAUCCAGGCUGAUGAGGAAGAUGAGGACCAGGCUGAGGGUGCACAGAUGCUGCCCCGGGUGGAGGGACUCGUUCCCAUGACAGCACUGGCACUCAUGCAUGGCGAGCGGCCAGCACGUGACAGUGCCAUCUCCAUCUUUGUGUGGUGUGGAGAGAGAUGGAAAAGACGUGACUGAACCAAGGCCACCAAGUAUCCAGCUUCUGGAGCGGACAUGGGGCAGGGACCUGCUUUACCAACCUGCAGAACUCUCACUGUGGAAACUUCUGGAAAGGACAGAUAACCUCCAAGUCUUGCUGUAUGACAUGGUGGCGCCAUCAAAAGCCAGUGCUUUGAUCUGAAGAAGGACUUGGUGACCCCAUCAGCACCUCAGCAAACCCGACUCCAUCGAUCUGGAGCUAAGGUACCAUCGUCUUUUCUUUUUCUGUGGUCUUGGGUAUCGAACCCAGCACCCGUGUUCUGAGAGAGCUCCGUCCCCAGCCCCAUUUCAUUUUGGGACAGGGUCUUGCUCAUUUUGCUGGGUUGGACUGGAGCUUGCAAUCCUCCGGUUCAGCCUCCCAGAGUGCUGGGAGUUUACAGGGGUGCACCUUCACACCCAGCUCCCAUCUUCAUAGCCGGUACACAGCGGAUGUCAUGGAACCAAAUUGUGAGGCAAACUUCUUGAUCCCCGAGAGGCUGACACUAUCCCAGCGCGUGACACUUUUUGCACAGCUCAAGAGAGAAAUCAAUGACACAGCGUGGAGCACAUGAAAAGCCACAUCCAGGCACCGCCGCCGAACAAGCGAGAUCCUCUCCUGCGUGAAGCGAGACCAAAGCCAAGGCCAGCACCGGCGUGCCGUGCGUGGCAUGUCCUCUUCUGAAAGGAAACUUCCGUGAAAAAUCGCUUCAGUGUCACCUGGGAAGCCGUGUCCAAUCCUCAAAGCCCAGGACAGCCUGACAGCCACCAGACUCUCGCUGGCGCCAGCGCGGACACCCUGCAGACUCGGGAUGGUGUUUGAUCAAGAGGAAAGCGAGGCGGCAGUCUGGAUGUGAGAGGGAGCCACGGGCCGCGCUGCUCGGCGUGGAGCCCCUCGCAAGCCGUUCUGUGUGUGACUGAGGCCCUGCUGUGUGCGGAGACCAGGCACCCACCCCUGUGUGCUCGGAAUGCGGGAGGCACAGAGGAAACACACAAACCUCAAACCGUCAUCCCCAACACAAACUCUACCCAUUAAAUACAAACUCCCACACCCUUCUACUCCAGCGAUUGACAACCUCCAUUCUCCCCCUUCCUAUGAAUUUGAAUAUUCUACCAGCCUCCUGCAACUGGACUCGUACAACAUUUGUCCUUUCGUGUCCAGUUUCUGUGACUUAGCACAUAAUUUUGAAGGCUCGUCCCUAUGGCUAGAUAUGUAGUAUUUCAGCCUUCUCCAGGGCUGUAUAAUAGUCCAUGUGAGUUCAUGCCACAACGUGCUUGUCCAGGCCUCCUGUUGAUGGUCAUCUAGGCCACUUCCACCUUUGGGCUGCUGUGAGUAACGCUGCUGAGAACACGAGAGGGCAAGCGUCUAUCUGACCCCCUCCUUCGGUUCCCUCAGGCAGGGCUGGGAGUGGACUUGCUGGUCACAUGAUAAUUCCACAUAAUGGUUCAAAUGUGAAAUGUCUCCCAGACUCCUGGGUGGAGCGCUUGGUCCCCAAGGUGGCAAUGUUCAGAGGUGGGGGAGAGGCCUAGAGAGGUGACUGAGUCCCCAGGGCUUUGCAUUGUGGGUCUUCCUCCAUGAUGUUUCCGUCUCAGUGCUGGGCAACCAUGAACUGAACCCUCCAAAAUAGUGAGUCAAAUAAACACUUUCUGCUUUUAAA